GAUUUCUGGUCUGACAUGCCUGGCCCGCCGGGGUCACCCGCGUGAGUGCCGGUGCGCGUCUACCAUCCUUCUGGAAAACGGCCUUACCCUUCACUGGGCCGAGGUCGCGAUCCAGAUCUUUUACUUUGAAAAAAUUAGAGUGUUUAAAGCAGGCUUACGCUGUGAAUACAUUAGCAUGGAAUAAUAAUUUAGGACUUCGGUCUCUAUUUUGUUGGUUUCUAGAGCUGAAGUAAUGAUUGAUAGGGAUAGUUGGGGGUGCUAGUAUUCAUCGGCCAGAGGUGAAAUUCUUGGAUUCGAUGAAGACUAACUUAUGCGAAAGCAUU
rnacentral:rRNA from 1 species